UGUGAGGCUGAUGUGUAGGCAAAUCCGCACAUCAUUAAGGCUAGGCUGUGAUGGGGAGCGAAAAUUGCAGUAGCGAAGGUCAUGAGUUCAGGCUGCCAAGAAAAGCCUCUAGCCAGGUGAAGGUGCCCGUACCGCAAACCGACACAGGUAGGCGAGCAGAGUAUGCUAAGGCGCUCGGAAGAACUCUCGUUAAGGAACUCGGCAAAAUGACCCCGUAACUUCGGGAGAAGGGGUGCCUCGGUAGGGUGAAUAGCCCGAGGGGGCCGCAGUGAAAAGGCCCAAGCGACUGUUUAGCAAAAACACAGGUCUGUGCGAAGCCGUAAGGCGAAGUAUACGGGCUGACGCCUGCCCGGUGCUGGAAGGUUAAGGGGAGUGGUUAGCCGCAAGGCGAAGCUAUGAACCGAAGCCCCAGUAAACGGCGGCCGUAACAAUAACGGUCCUAAGGUAGCGAAAUUCCUUGUCAGGUAAAUUCUGACCCGCACGAAUGGCGUAACGACUUGGGCGCUGUCUCAACGAGAGAUCCGGUGAAAUUUUAAUACCUGUGAAGAUGCAGGUUACCCGCGACAAGACGGAAAGACCCCAUGGAGCUUUACUGCAGCUUGAUAUUGGACUUUGGUACGAUCUGUACAGGAUAGGUGGGAGCCUUGGAAAUCGGAGCGCCAGCUUCGGUGGAGGCAUCGUUGGGAUACCACCCUGAUCGUAUCGGAGUUCUAACCUGGUACCGUGAUCCGGUACAGGGACCGUGUCAGGUGGGCAGUUUGACUGGGGCGGUCGCCUCCUAAAAUGUAACGGAGGCGCCCAAAGGUUCCCUCAGAAUGGUUGGAAAUCAUUCGUAGCGUGCAAAGGCAUAAGGGAGCUUGACUGCGAGACCUACAAGUCGAGCAGGGACGAAAGUCGGGCUUAGUGAUCCGGUGGUACCGCAUGGAAGGGCCAUCGCUCAACGGAUAAAAGCUACCCUGGGGAUAACAGGCUUAUCUCCCCCAAGAGUCCACAUCGACGGGGAGGUUUGGCACCUCGAUGUCGGCUCAUCGCAUCCUGGGGCUGAAGUAGGUCCCAAAGGUUGGGCUGUUCGCCCAUUAAAGCGGUACGCGAGCUGGGUUCAGAACGUCGUGAGACAGUUCGGUCCCUAUCUGUCGUGGGCGUAGGAAAUUUGAGAGGAGCUGUCCUUAGUACGAGAGGACCGGGAUGGACGCACCGCUGGUGUACCAGUUGUUCCGCCAGGAGCAUAGCUGGGUAGCUACGUGCGGACGGGAUAAGCGCUGAAAGCAUCUAAGCGUGAAGCCCCCCUCAAGAUGAGAUUUCCCAGUAUGUAAGACCCCUGGAAGACGACCAGGUUGAUAGGUUCGAGGUGGAAGCGCAGCAAUGUGUGGAGCUGACGAAUACUAAUCGGUCGAGGGCUUAUCC
rnacentral:rRNA from 1 species